GCAAACUUGGUCAUUUAGAGGAAGUAAAAGUCGUAACAAGGUUUCCGUAGGUGAACCUGCGGAAGGAUCAUUAAUGAAUGGUUUUUGCUUGAAGGGCUGUAGCUGGCCUGCAUGUGUAGGCAUGUGCACGCCUGGAUUGUCAGUGUUAUCCACCCAACUCACAUGUGCACAACUGUAGCGGCCAGGCCUGCUACGUUUGUUUGUUCAAUAGAACCUUGGUGUAUUUUUGCACUAAAUAAAAAGACUUUUGGGGACCAGACGAUGUUAUAACAACUUUCAGCAACGGAUCUCUUGGCUCUCGCAUCGAUGAAGAACGCAGC
rnacentral:misc_RNA from 1 species